AUUGAACGCUGGCGGCAGGCUUAACACAUGCAAGUCGAGCGGGGGAAGGUAGCUUGCUACCGGACCUAGCGGCGGACGGGUGAGUAAUGCUUAGGAAUCCGCCUAUUAGUGGGGGACAACAUCUCGAAAGGGAUGCUAAUACCGCAUGCGUCCUACGGGAGAAAGCAGGGGAUCUUCGGACCUUGCGCUAAUAGAUGAGCCUAAGUCGGAUUAGCUAGUUGGUGGGGUAGAGGCCUACCAAGGCGACGAUCUGUAGCGGGUCUGAGAGGAUGAUCCGCCACACUGGGACUGAGACACGGCCCAGACUCCUACGGGAGGCAGCAGUGGGGAAUAUUGGACAAUGGGGGGAACCCUGAUCCAGCCAUGCCGCGUGUGUGAAGAAGGCCUUAUGGUUGUAAAGCACUUUAAGCGAGGAGGAGGCUACUUUAGUUAAUACCUAGAGAUAGUGGACGUUACUCGCAGAAUAAGCACCGGCUAACUCUGUGCCAGCCGCCGCCGUAA
rnacentral:rRNA from 1 species